rnacentral:rRNA from 1 species
GACGAACGCUGGCGGCGUGCUUAACACAUGCAAGUCGAACGGUAAGGCCCUUCGGGGUACACGAGUGGCGAACGGGUGAGUAACACGUGGGUGAUCUGCCCUGCAUUUCGGGAUAAGCCUGGGAAACUGGGUCUAAUACCGGAUAGGACCCUGGGAUGCAUGUCCUGGGGUGGAAAGCUUUUGCGGUGUGGGAUGGGCCCGCGGCCUAUCAGCUUGUUGGUGGGGUGAUGGCCUACCAAGGCGACGACGGGCAGCCGGCCUGAGAGGGUGACCGGCCACACUGGGACUGAGAUACGGCCCAGACUCCUACGGGAGGCAGCAGUGGGGAAUAUUGCACAAUGGGCGCAAGCCUGAUGCAGCGACGCCGCGUGAGGGAUGACGGCCUUCGGGUUGUAAACCUCUUUCAGCACCGACGAAGCGCAAGUGACGGUAGGUGCAGAAGAAGGACCGGCCAACUACGUGCCAGCCGCCGCUGUAA